AUGUUCCCACCCACGACUCUUCCUCUCCACUUCCCUAACUUCCCCCACCAAUCCCUCAACUCAAUCAAGGCCCCUGGUAUCUCUUAUCGAUCCCGUACAUCCCUCCUCCUCCGCCAUCUUCUCUUACCGAUCCCUUCCCUUGAAAUCCCCUUCCAAAUUUCCCCCAAUUCUCAAAACGAUAGACUCACCCCAUCACCCAGACCUAGAUCUGCACCCCCUCGCCUCCUCAGAUUCAAGAUCGGGGGGCCAAUUCGAGGCUCAUUUCAACACUCGCUCCCAGAUCUGGACCUAUCGUCGGUCGAAAUCAAGAUCAGCGCUAUUAAUUCUUGAAAUGUGUUUCAUAAAAUUCUAGAUCUUAGAGAGAAGUCGAGAUGUAUUCGAGGUCGGCGAAAUCGUCGUACAGAGAUCGGACGCAGGAGUUUCUGACAGCGACGGAAAGAUUGAAGAAGACGAUCCCCUCUCAUCAACCGAACGCGCAGUUUGGUAACUCCGCUGUGAACGCGGCCGAGGGGCCGAAGUCGUCGGCGGUCUCGGUUCAUUCGGAAUUCAACAAGAGAGCUUCCAAGAUUGGGCUUGGGAUCCAUUGUGAUAUAACAUAUUAGUUACAGCUUAUUGUUGUACUUCACAAGUGCAGUACAGUGAUCUGGUUGAAGUUGAUCGUGCAUCAAUUCUCGAAAAGUUUCGUCAAUCGACUUCAGAGUGGAGUCAGAACAUCAAUGUUCUUCCUGGGGAUUGCACUGAAUCUGGAAAUGGAGACCACAAGUGUACUAUGAUUGUUGUAACAGAUGCCUGUUUGCUUUCUGUUGUUCCUAGAGAAGCACCUGUUUCUGCUCACAUUCUAAUAAACUAUGAGCUUCCAACAAAGAAGGUUGAAAAUCAUCUUUCAAUUCAGACCUUUCACCAUUUCUUCACAGAUUGGCGUACUCUACAACCUGAGAAUAAUUAAGUGUACUUUUAUUGGAUUAUUUAUUCUUUUGAAAUAUUUAGUAGUAGUUUUUUCGGUACUUUCAUCUUGAUUAUUUGAAGAAUUAGGAUUUUUUGGACAUCAGUAAUUUUUAUGUCCAUUUUGUUUGUCCUUCACUUUUUCUAAUGAAUAAGUAGUCUUUAAUUUUUGA